rnacentral:lncRNA from 1 species
UACAUUUGAACAGUCUCGGUGACUAAGACUCCAGGUCAGAAACUUGAAGCAUCGUCUUGACGACUGCUAGUGCCUCCGGUUGCCCACAGCAUCAGGGAACUAGCUAUAAGACUGAACAAUCAAAAAAAGAAACUAGCAAACUCUUACCAUAGUAGAAAUGCUGAAAUCAGAACUUUUUGCAGAAGUGUCUUUUGAUGAUGAUGAGGAGGAGGAGGAGGAGAAAUUAGAGGAUAUGGGCAGAGAAGAACACCAGAAAGAAUACCAAAGAACUACUGUUCAUAGAAAGAUGGAGACCAAGAAGUAAUUCAGAGAUAAUAAAGAUGAAUAAGAUUGGACAAGGGGAAAAAAUGAGAAUCAAGACCUAUUAUGUAAAGGUACAGAAUCCCAAUGAUGAAU